rnacentral:rRNA from 1 species
CAGCGCCACAAGUGGGGAUCGCUUUUAUUGGGCCUAAAGCGUCCGUAGCCGGUCUAUCGAAUCUCUUGUGAAAUCGUUCGGCUCAACCGAACGGCGUGCAGGAGACACUCCUAGACUAGGGACCGGGAGGGGUCAGAGGUAUUCUGGGGGGAGCGGUAAAAUGCUAUAAUCCCCGGAGGACCACCGGUGGCGAAGGCGUCUGACCAGAACGGAUCCGACGGUGAGGGACGAAAGCCAGGGGAGCAAUCCGGAUUAGAUACCCGAGUAGUCC